rnacentral:rRNA from 1 species
AACGAACGCUGGCGGCAUGCCUAACACAUGCAAGUCGAACGAGACCUUCGGGUCUAGUGGCGCACGGGUGCGUAACGCGUGGGAACCUGCCCUUAGGUUCGGAAUAACUCCCCGAAAGGGGUGCUAAUACCGGAUAAUGUCUUCGGACCAAAGAUUUAUCGCAUUUGGAUGGGCCCGCGUUGGAUUAGCUAGUUGGUAGGGUAAAAGCCUACCAAGGCGACGAUCCAUAGCUGGUCUGAGAGGAUGAUCAGCCACACUGGGACUGAGACACGGCCCAGACUCCUACGGGAGGCAGCAGUGGGGAAUAUUGGACAAUGGGCGAAAGCCUGAUCCAGCAAUGACGCGUGAGUGAUGAAGGCCUUAGGGUUGUAAAGCUCUUUUACCCGGGAUGAUAAUGACAGUACCGGGAGAAUAAGCUCCGGCUAACUCCGUG